rnacentral:lncRNA from 10 species
CAAAUAGGUAAUACUUCACAAAUUGAUGUAUGCUCAUGGACAAUAGCAGAAGAGCCAAGCCUCAUACUGAUGAGAAGAAGAGAAGGAAGAGAAAUGGGAAGCCGAUCAUUAAAAUAUUUUCCUGCAAGGGGAAGAAAACAACAAUUCUUAAGUGCCAAUAUGAGACAGGCACUAUACUGAGCACUUUGGAUGUGGUAUCUGUUUACAUUUAUUUGAAUAAUAAUCAGCAUAUAGAAAUUCAACAUAGAUUCUGCACCAUUUCUUUCAGUCCUUCUGGAUGGUUUUUCAUUUGUAUUUGUAAUAACUUGAAAGUUACUUAAUCUCUCAUUAAGUUGCUGAGGUAUGCUUUUUAACAUAAUAUUUGCAUAGGCCAUGAACCAGAAUGAAUAAAAGGAAAAUCCCAAGAUCUAGAACAUUGUUUUAGAAUUGAUGCCUACCCAACACUUUGUCCUGAGUUUACUUAGCAUAUAGAAAGGAGUUACAUACACAAUGAACAUUCGAGGACUGAAUUUUAGUUGAAGUAACUGAGAUGAGUAAACAAAAAAUGCCAGAAGCUCACUGCCUCCUCCACCCCCACCACACCUGAUGCAGUCCAGAGGCAAAUUUCUUUGUUAAUCCACUUAUUUGUGUUAUUUUUAUGUAUUUAUACUUAUAGUACGUAGCAUAUCUAAGCUCAUGUCUGUCUUAGGAAUUGGAAUUUUAGCAGGCAGAGAGAUCAUCACCUUAACUCUGUGGUGUUCAAUCUUUUAGCUUCCCUGGGCCACAUCACAAGAAGAAAAAUUGUCUUGGGCCAUACAUAAAAUACACCAACACUAAUGAUAGCUGAUGAGCUAAAAAAAAAAAAACCUGUCAAAAAUAUCAUAAUUUUUUUCAUUGCUUGAGCAAUUUUUUUAUUAUUAUUAUACUUUAAGUUCUAGGGUACAUGUGCACAACGUGCAGGUUUGUUACAUAUGUAUACAUGUGCCAUGUUGGUGUGCUGCACCCAUUAACUUGUCAUUUACAUUAGGUAUAUCUCCUAAUGCUAUCCCUCCCCUCUCCACCCACCCCACGACAGGCCCCAGUGUGUGAUGUUCCCAAAAAUAUCAUAAUGGUUUAGGAAAGUUUACGAAUUUGUGCUGGGCUGCAUUCAAAGCCAUCCUGGGUUGCAUGUGGUCUGCAGGCCCCAGGUUGGACAAGCUUGCCUUAAAUGAAGUUUACAAAUAGUUACAAUUAUGUUUAGUGCUACAGAUUAGAAGUAUAUGCUAAUAUGUAAUUGAUAUGGUUUGGCUGUGUUCCCACCCACAUCUCACUUUGAAUUAUAAUAAUCCUCACAUGUCAAGGGUGGGGCCAGGUGGAGAUAAUUGAAUCAUGGAGGCAGUUUACCCCAUACUACUCCCGUGGUUGUGAAUAAGUCUCAUGAGAUCUGAUGGUUUUAUAAAUGACAGUUUCCCUGCACAAGCUCUCUUGCCUGCCGCCAUGUAAGAUAGGACUUUGCUCCUCAUUCAUCUUCAGCCAUGAUUGUGAGGCCUCCCCAGCCAUGUGAAACUGUGAGUCAAUUAAACCUCUUUCCUUUAUAAAUU